AGAGCGGGCCGUGCGGUGAGCCAAUGAGAGUGGGCCGGGCCGUGCCACCUGAGCCAAUGAGCGCCAGCAGGCACCUCCUACUGCACGAGCUCUCGGGCAAUGAAAAUCCCGCGUCCACCUGGUCGCGCGCGUUCUGGGAAGAGGUUCGUUGCCCUGUGGUUUCUCCUUCUGCGUCUGUUUUGUUUCUGAGCCACGGUGGCCGGCUUUGGAAGUAGUGGGGCCGGACCUGUUUCAAAGGAGCCAAGGGAAGUAUCCUGUUGGAUUUCAACGGACACUAAAGGGGCCUUGAAGGAGACAGUCCAGGAAAGGCAGAUCGACAGGGAAGUUGAGGCUUUGACCGCGGCUGCAGUCAUCUGAUGCAGUGGCUUUGUCCCCCCAGGGGACAUUUGUGACCGUCACCAAAGGCAGUGCACGUACAGUUAAAUGUUUUUCUCACAGAAUUGCAUCGCGCUGUACCACACAGAUUUUCGGAAACCUAAGACGCGGUAUUGAACUAAUUCUACAUCUAAUUCCAAUUGUAAUAAAGUUAAUACAUGCAGACGGUCUGAUGAGCAAGUGUAAUGGUUGAAACGUUUGACACGGACGGAGGCCGCCGAGAGGGGUACGUGGGGGGCCGGAAGGGCUCCGUGAUGACCGGGUGUCGGGGAGACUUUCCGAAGCCACGUGGGUCUGGCUGCCGUGGCCCCACGCCAGUAACUGCGUACCGGGCACCGAUCUAAGUCCUUCGCACCUACUAACUCGCGAAAACUGGAGAGGAAGAACACCCACCAGUCCUUGGAAGAGCUCCAUGAACAGGUGCCUUGAACCCCACUUUACAGAUGAAGAAGAAGGGGGACACGGGGGUUGGCAUGCUGUCCGGGGCUCCCGGCUGGACCAGCCAGGUCCAGGCAGUGUGGCGGGGACCACAGUCUCACCCCCGGGGGUCACCGGGUCGGGCCCCCCACCCUUCAGGCCACGAGGAGGUCAGAAGAGGGCAAACCCGGAGCUCGCUCCAUUCAGAGGCAUGACCUCUUGCCGGAGUCGGACGCUCAACCGACUGAGCCACACAGGCACCCCCAAAAGCAUCUACUUAAAAUGAGCAACUCAGUGACUCUGAUACCACAACCAAGAUACAGAGCAUUUCCACCCCCCAACCCCCAGAAGAUUGCUCGGAGGUGCGAUAAUCCUUCCUUUGUACAAAAGACUGAACCCAACUUUCAUCGGCUGCCGGGGUAGGUGACGGGGGUUGUCGCUUGGUCCGCCCGUCCAGCACGGUCUGUAGGGUUCGGGCAAUGAAAGGCACGUCCGGAACUUAGCCCCGUCGUGUACGUGACUGUGCGGACUUUGGCAAGUGACUCAGCUGUGCCUCAGUUUCCCACCUGGAGACCGUGGACAGUAAUGUCUACGUCACAGGGUUGGAGCGAGGGUGGAAUGAAAUGGUGUGCAAUGGGGUGUUAAGAUUGAAGUUAGGAGGGAGACCUCAAAACACAGCACGUGUGCAGGGGAAACAGUCUGAGAAGAGUCCCAGGCCUCUGAGAACCUCCCGCCAGGUCAGGGGUCAGUGCCUGGGGAGAAGCCGAAACUGUGUUUGAAUCUCAGGGUCAUCGUGGGGUGUGAAAGGCCAUUUGUCUUUUAUGGAAGGAAAGAGACCCAGACUUUUCUUCCGGGGGCAGGAGAAAGGUUCCCUUGCUGAACUAUUUAAUUUUUUAUGUUAUCUUAUUCUA